rnacentral:rRNA from 1 species
UAUCUCUGUAGAGUCUGCAUAUCAAUAAGCGGAGGAAAAGAAACUAACUAGGAUUCCCUCAGUAACGGCGAGUGAAGCGGGAAGGGCUCAAAUUUGAAAUCUUCAAGGUUUUACCUUGACGAAUUGUAGUUUAAAGAAGUGUUUUCUGUUGGAGUUUUGGUAAAAGUUCUUUGGAAUAGGACAUCAUAGAGGGUGAGAAUCCCGUAUUUGACCAUUAUUUCCAGCUUUGUGAUACACUUUCAAAGAGUCGGAUUGUUUGGGAAUGCAGUCCAAAAUGGGUGGUAAAUUUCAUCUAAAGCUAAAUAUUGGCGAGAGACCGAUAGCGAACAAGUACCGUGAGGGAAAGAUGAAAAGAACUUUGAAAAGAGAGUUAAACAGUACGUGAAAUUGUCAAAAGGGAAGCGUUUGACACCAGUGUUGUUUCUACGAAAAUCAAUUUAUGAUGGCUUGAUGCUAAGCUUUAAGACUUUAUCCGCUUGUUGUUUAGUUUUCUUGUCUUUGUGAAUGCACUUUUCGUGGAACAAGUCAACAUCAAUUUCUUUUGCUGUAAAAGGGUAAGAGGAAGGUGGCUUCGGCUUCGGUUGAAGUGUUUAUAGCCUUUUAUCUCUGCAGUCGGAGAGAUUGAGGUCUGCAGCGUAGACUCUUCGGGGUUAGAUACGUCGGUGCUAAGCUAUAGCUUUUCAUAGACAACUUGUUGACUAUGUUUAGUCAUGUGGCUUACCCGCUGGCGCUAUUUUACCUACGCUUAGGAUGUUGAGUCAUCACACAUCUCU